AAGCAGACAAAAGGAUACAAAUCAAACAUCACAUGACAACAUUUUUCUCACUUCUUAAGAUGUUUAUCAAACCAAUUUAUCAUGAUUUUAUGAGCCUUCCCAGCAGCCUUCACAGCUUUUGGAUCAUUAGGAUCGUACCUCACAGUCCAUCCAUGUGAGACGUUAGCAAAUAUCUUCACAUAACUAUCAAUCUGCACAAAACAAAAACUCAGUACACUUGUACUAAUAAAGUGAAGAGAUAUUCGACAAAAUAUGUCCAUGGCCAUAGAAAAUAAAACAAUGUUUAUUUUGACAAAUAUUGGAUAUAACUAAAAAGUAAAACGUGUUAAUUAAUUGACAAUUCUGAUUGUCCCCACCUCUUAUCCUAUGAAAUUCAUGUUCACGCAGCAAAGUCUAAAGACAUAUGACAUGUUUAUUUUUUUUAAAAAUAAAAAACCUAAAAUGACAGAACAUAACUACUACAAAAGGAAAAUAAGUUUCAUCGUACCUCAGGUUUAGCAUUUAAGACUUGUUUAAAUUGAUUUAGGAGCUUUGGAGGGGAGAGUGAGUCGUGCUCAGCUCCAAGUAUAGCAAUUGGAACUUCAACACCUGAAAAAGAUCAAAGUGACUCUUUCACAACUGACAUCUUUUGAGAUUUGUAUCUUUAUUCAACCAUAAAAGACAGCAUCAAAAAGAGAUUUACUGUAUACUGUCAAAUUCACAAAAAGUUGAAGUUUUUGUCAUCUGAUUGAGAAUUCAUACCACGGAUGUCAUCCACAGUGAUAUAUGAUGGAUGUAAUAGCACAGAAGCUUGAACAAGUUUGGCUUUUCCAAGGUUAGUCACAGUCCUAGCUGAGAGAAAGACAAAACACACAUUACAUUCUGUAGUUUAUACUUAAGGUGACCUGAAACUGCAAAAUACAAAGUCACUUACCACCCCAACAGAAACCAGCAACUCCCACAGCAGAAGCACCUUUUCUUUUCAAGGCUUCAAUGACAGGUUUUGCAGUUUCAAUACCUUUUCCCUGCACAUUCAAUAGGUAAUAUCAGAAUCAGACAAAAUGUAUUACAGUUUACAGAAAAGUCACAAUUUUUAUUCAUCUGAACGCAAACAGACAUGAUAUUUGAUUUGCAAAUCAGACACCACAUAAAAUGGUGGCGACCCUUUAGCUUACAGAGUCCAAACAUCUAAAUAUUCCAAUAUAAGAACCUAACGUUGACUUAUGAAGAACAGAAAGAACAUUUCUUUUCUUGCUAAAUCAAUGAUAAAUGAUAAAGAAGCAAUUAUCAUUAAGUAAGAACUAACCGGGUCAUGAUCAUUUAACCAAGGAGUGAAAGGCCUGCUCGCAUUGUCACGAUUGUAGGGUUCUCCAUGGAAGAAGUCAGGAACCGCCACAAAAUACCCAUGGUUUGCAACUUUGUCUGCAAUUUUCCUAUGCAACAUAACAUACAAUUCAAAUAAUUUUACCACUUUAAACAUUUUUCAAAGUAUCUUUUGUAAUUUAAUUUACUCAAACCAUAGUGUUCAUUCAUUUACCCAAAAAAUAUGUUAUUAAACUACCUUAAGAAUUCAAUUCAUUUUAUGCCUUGUGGCCUCCAUAGAAAUAGUAUUUGCUUACAAAAUGGGAGACAUUACAUAUGACCUAACAGAGAAUAAGCAGAGAGAUAAACUGAGUAAAUCAGGCAUUGAAAGUAACAUACCUUAAAAGUGGUGGUUUAAAUCCUACAAGACAAAUUGAGCAUGUAAAGUUAGUUAAAGAUAUUGGUUAAAGGUAAUAUAACUGUCGGCAGAAACAAACAAAUAGAUACACCAAACAGGGAAUUAACAAUGUCUCAGGGAAACUGAUAUAUUGCUGAUUUCAAAAUCAUCACAAUGCAUUUCAACUCAGUCUUAUAAAUUUGUAUCUACUAUGAAUUCACCUUUAUCUCUAAUCCACGUAAUAAUCAUAAUGAAGAAAAUAAAUUACAGAUAGACGAAACUGAAUUAAUUAAAGCACCUUCGUCUUGUACUCUUGACAAGAAACAGAACUCAGUUAUGUUACAAAUAGAAUAACUGAGUCACUGGUUUCAGUAGUAUCUAUAACAAGAAACAGAACCCAGUUAUGUUAGAUAGUUUCUGUUUCUGACAGGUUUUCUUUCAAUCUGUUUGGUCACUUAAAAUCAAUACACGAACACAAAUUUCAACGUUUGGAACUUCAAUAAAAUUAUAUAUACAGAAGCAAAGAGUAAUAAUGGUGUUGAUAUAUUUGGAAGAAAGAAUACCAUAAACAUCAGAAACAAGAACGAUGGCAAGAAUGGCGAGAGGAGAACCAGUGACAUAGGUGUUAACACCGGCGAUAUUGGUAACAUAGCCAACACCACUUGAAGCAUUGAGAAUGGGAGGGUUCGAAUAGCAUUCACUUCCCACCAU
rnacentral:sRNA from 1 species